AGAGCGAACGCUGGCGGCAGGCUUAACACAUGCAAGUCGAGCGCCCGUAGCAAUACGGGAGCGGCAGACGGGAUAGUAACACGUGGGAACGCGCCCUUCGGUUCGGAAUAACUCAGGGAAACUUGAGCUAAUACCGAAUACGCCCUUACGGGGAAAGAUUUAUUGCCGAAGGAACGGCCCGCGUCCGAUUAGCUAGUUGGUGAGGUAAUGGCUCACCAAGGCUACGAUCGGUAGCUGGUCUGAGAGGAUGACCAGCAUCACUGGGACUGAGACACGGCCCAGACUCCUACGGGAGGCAGCAGUGGGGAAUAUUGGACAAUGGGCGAAAGCCUGAUCCAGCCAUGCCGUGUGGAUGAUGAAGGCCUUAGGGUUGUAAAGUCCUUUUAACGGGGAAGAUAAUGACGGUACCGUAGAAUAAGCCCGGCUAACUUCGCGCCAGCAGCCGC
rnacentral:rRNA from 1 species